AAGAGGGGCUGGCUCUCUGUCCCCUCGUCGCGGGGGUUGCAUCCCCCCCCUGUGAUGGGGGUCCCAAGAGCCAGGGGGGGAAGAAGGGCUGGCUCUCAGUCCCCGCCUCACUAGCAGGGGAGUUGCUGCCAAGGCCCUCAAACAUGGGGGCCAUCCUUUAGAAACCCUGUCUAGUUGUUUAGAGACAUAGGCCACCGACCUCAUCCAGGGCCCCACAGUUUGGGUUAAAAGUCCACCUGCCAUCUUUUCUCUCUCUGACACAUACAAUGGAAAAGGCUUUGUCAGAUCGGGUAACCCCAGGGCUGAAGCUGCCAGAAGUUUUUCCUUUAACUCAUGAAAGACUUGCUGUUGUUAGGAUCCCCCUUCCAAAGGUUCCCGGUCCCCGACCCCUUUGUGACCUCAUACAAAGUCUUGGCUUAUACUGCAAAGUUUGGGAUCCACAGUCUACAAAACCCCACAGCUCCUGAGAAUUCUCUCGCCUGCCUUCGGCCCUUAGGCUCUGGUAGAUUGCAAAUAACAUGCUUUCUUUCUGUUCCCGGGUGGCUUCGGACCCCUGUCGGAUCGGAAAUCCCAAGCUCCAGUAGAUUGCAAAUGACCUGCUUACUUUCUGUUCCCGGGCUGCGUUCUGACACCUGUCGGAUAGUAAAUCCCAAGUAAGGUACCAGCCGUCGGCAGAUUUGAGCUUUCUUCUUGGACACCUAUACCCACAGUCCUCCAGUGUUUUAGACGCCCAGCUGCACAACUUGAUUGCCUUACAAAUGACCUGCUUCCAGGAUGCGGAAAUUCCUAAUUUCUUCUGUGACCCUUCUCAACUCCCCCAUCUUGCAUGUUGUGACACCUUCACCAAUAACAUAAUCAUGUAUUUCCCUGCUGUCAUAUUUGGUUUUCUUCCCAUCUCUGGGACCCUUUUCUCUUACUAUAAAAUUGUUUCCUCCAUUCUGAGUGUUUCAUCAUCACGUGGGCAGUAUAAGGCCUUCUCCACCUGUGGGUCUCACCUGUCAGUUGUUUGCUGAUUUUACGGAACGGGCGUUGGAGGGUACUUCAGUUCAGAUGUGUCAUCUUCCCCGAGAAAGGCUGCAGUGGCCUCAGUGAUGUACACGGUGAUCACCCCAUGCUGAACCCCUUCAUCUACAGCCUGAGAAACAGGCAUAUUAAAAGUGUCCUGCGGCG
rnacentral:lncRNA from 10 species